rnacentral:rRNA from 1 species
UACGGGGGGGGCAAGCGUUGUUCGGAAUUACUGGGCGUAAAGGGCUCGUAGGCGGCCAACUAAGUCAUACGUGAAAUCCCUCGGCUUAACCGGGGAACUGCGUCUGAUACUGGUUGGCUUGAGUUUGGGAGAGGGAUGCGGAAUUCCAGGUGUAGCGGUGAAAUGCGUAGAUAUCAGGAGGAACACCCGUAGCGAAGGCGGCACUCUGGGCCGAUUCUGACACUGAGGAGCGAAAGCGUGGGGAGCGAACAGG